rnacentral:rRNA from 1 species
AACGAACGCUGGCGGCAUGCCUAACACAUGCAAGUCGAACGAGACCUUCGGGUCUAGUGGCGCACGGGUGCGUAACGCGUGGGAACCUGCCCUUAGGUUCGGAAUAACUCUCCGAAAGGGGUGCUAAUACCGGAUAAUGUCUUCGGACCAAAGAUUUAUCGCCCUUGGAUGGGCCCGCGUUGGAUUAGCUGGUUGGUAGGGUAAAAGCCUACCAAGGCGACGAUCCAUAGCUGGUCUGAGAGGAUGAUCAGCCACACUGGGACUGAGACACGGCCGGGACUCUUACGGGAGGCAGCAGAGGGGAAUAUAGGAAAGUGGCGGAAGGCCUGAUCCAGCAAUGCCGCGUGAGUGAUGAAGGCCUUAGGGUUGUAAAGCUCUUUUACCCGGGAUGAUAAUGACGGUACCGGGAGAAUAAGCUCCGGCUAACUCCGUG